UUUGGCACAAUGAGGUUAUAUAAGCGGAUGAGAUCGAAAGAUCUUUGAUUUCUCUUGCAAAAUUCAAAGUCCUUUUCAUUCUGAGUGCCAU